CGUAAAAAUCGCUGUUUUUUUCUAAAAAGGUGUUUUUGUGGUCAUUUUGGCUGUUUAUUUCGAGGGUACGGUAGGAGGUCAUCGUUCACUCGAUAACUCUUUUUAAAAUGAAAUAAAAGCGUUUUAAGAUACAUGAUAUGAAUUGAUAUUAAUAUUCGUUAAGUGGGAUUGUCGGUGGACGUUCAUUGUUGAACAGUUGUGCUGGAAUUACGAAAAUAUAUCGAUAUCGUUGAGAGUUCAUUCAUUAGGGGCCUGUUCUCAAUUUUCCUUACAACGCCUCUAGCACUGGGCAAUUGCCACCAUCUUGAAAAGCAGUGCCGCGGAUGGCUAUCGCAUCGCCACUACGCAUGAGAACACGAUGGCUGCCCUGCGCUGCAUUGAUAGUUCGUAAUAAAUUCACAUAAAAACACACCAGAAGAUCUCCGAUUUUAUUUACAAAGAUCAUAUUUUGUUAUUUAUUGAUAAAACAAGCCAUUUUACCACAGCAGGUGACACAUAUUAGGCCUGAAUAAGACUUUAGAAUUUGAAGUGGUGGUGACGAUGCCGAUAUCCAAGAUGGCGGAAUUAUACCAGUGGUCAAAUCUCAUCUAUUUUGGGUAAUUGCAUCAUUAUUUCUUUUUGUGAUUGGUGAUUUGUAAAAUUGAGAAUGAUUGAAAAAUCAGUAUUUUUUCACCCAAAGGCAUGAGUGAACAUUUGAUAAGUUUAUUGUGAUUUAAUUGGUAAUUUGGUCGACAUUUUGACAAUUAUAUUUAGCAAUAUUUCGAUAAAUGCGGACCUGCUUCUUCCUCUUUUCGUAGUGGCGGUGUUUCGAUAACUCAGGUCAGUUUCACGGCAAAAAUAAGUGGUAGUUUUGAAAUUCGAAUGUGCAUUUAUUGAUGUAACGAUAAAGUACAUUUCCGAGAAUAAUUAGUGAAAGUUUCAGUAGGUGUCGAUUUUUGUAAAGUAGUGUAUAGGCGAUGGAUUGGCUCAGCCAUGUGCUCGUCGUGUCAGCGGGGCGCAAGCCGUCAUGGGGGAUGUAGGCUACACUACAAUGCACGUGAUUGAUGGUUGAACAUUCACUCUCGUUGACAGUGUAUUAUUGAAAUAUUUGAUUGUGAUGAUGGUGUAUUGUACUAGGCCUUGCAUGCUCCCAACGUGUGGCAUAUUUCACAUUGAUACUACCAGUAUCAAUUACAAAAAAAUAGAUUGUGAGUAACAAUAGGCCUACAAUACAAUCAAUGCUACAUGUCAUGAGGGUGGGAACGGGGAAGGGGGCGGGGUAACUGUCUCGACGUCCCGUUAGGAAAAAAGGCUUAUCCCGUUUCCCAAUAUGCAAUUUUAGCCGAAUCGUGACGCAAAACACGGCUUGUCUCGAAUCCCGCUAAAAUAAGGGUGUCUAUCCCGAAUCCCGACAGUUAUUUUCGGCCCAUCCCAGUGUCCCGAAAAUACCCGUUCUCCCCCUCAUAAAUAGUAGACCAUAUUGUCACAUUGAUGUUUUCUUUCAUUACAGUUAGACUUCGAGAUCUACAUUUUCGACAAAGGCCUGGUGUAUAAAUAUUACGUACUUGAUGAAGGUUUAAUGACACGAAUGAGUACAAGUACAUUACAUAUUUUCGACGAAGGCCUUCUGUAAUUUCAUACGCUUCUUACGCAACAUUCAAUAGAUUUAUUUACUGUAUUAUCAUUUCGACCAAGGCGAAUUCGACACUUCAAUUACACAAGCACAAUCAAACUUAGUCAUUCCAGUCAGUUACUGAAGCACAGCGAAAACUGUCUGAAUUAGUGCUGCUGAUGGCAUGUAAUUACUCUACUACCACUACCAGUGACAGUCAAUGUCCAUAUAUUUUCAAGUGUGCGAAAUUAGUACUCGUCUACUUCUUAGUGUUAUUUGAAUGCAAUGUAUGUUAUAAAAAUAUUUUUUCAACACUAUAUCAACAUUCUCAUUCCUGUCAGUUUCUGAAAAUCAGCUAAAGCAAUCGCUACCAAUGCAGCUGAUAACAGCAAUUCUUUUUGUUCCCAAUGCCCAUCCAUGACAAUAUAUUUCACCCAUGUGACAAUCAUGUAAUCAUCCUGUUUUUUGUGUUCUAUUCAUGCAAUAAAUAAAUUCAGUAUUUUCAAAUCAUUGGUGCUACAAAACUAUUCUCAUUAUAGAUUAUUCAUAUUUUAUAAAAUGCUGUCAUGUCAAAUUUUGUGUCCUAUAAAUCAUUAUGAAGUCGGCAUUUUAUAUACAACUUUUGUACUCCUCCUAAAUAAACAUACAAAUCUUGUUUUAUGUAAACUUUGUAUAUGUGACCCGUCACAGCAAAACCAGACGCAUGUCGCUCUGAGCUUGGCAGGUUGAGACGGACUGUUUGUUCAUUUAUCUAUUGUCUGCCUUUUGUAAAAUAUGAGCACAUCAAUUUCUUCCAUUAUCUCCUGGUGUCAUUUAGGCUCAUCUUCUGUGCGACAUGUACCUGGUUUUGCUGUGACGGGUCACAUAUUCUAUAGAUAUACAACACUCUAAUGUCACAAUGCCUCUCUCACUCGCUUUUAUAUAGCAAGAUGUAUGAAUAAACAUGACACACCAACUAUGUACAAAAUUGCUAACAAACUGCACCAUUUGUCAGUACACCACAUGAAAUACAGAGAUAUGUCUUAAUUCUAAUCUUUCAUUAGCGACACCAUUUCUUACCCGAGUGCCUCCUUCAUUCAUACAUCUUGUACUUUAACUCAAGAUACCCAUCUUUGAAUAUUUUUAGUAUACCAAGUACUACAAUGUCAAUGUAUUGAAGUCAUGUUCUUGUAGUGUUAUUGGCUUUCUAUUAUCUUGUCAAAAUACCACUUGGUUCUCGCAAAAUCUCAAUAAAAACAAAAGCUAUUGCAUGUAUUGCAUAUUCUAACAGCUAUCCACUGUAUCGAUUUAUCCAUCAUCUGUACUAUUUGUCACAAAAAUGUUAUAUUAUGUAAAUCAUAUUUCAUUACAUAAUGCACACUGCCAAUUACUGCUGAACCAUUCAUAUGUCAUUUAAAUAAAUAAUUUUCAACUUUUUAAAACCGUCUUAUAGUACUGUUCUUGUCACUUAGCUGAACCAAUUGCUCUAUAGCAUGAAAUUUCCAGAAAUGCGCCAGGGACUGAAAAGUGCUGUUUUAACAGAGAGGUGUCCUAAACUGAGAAGUCGAGUUGA